GGAGUUAGCCGGUGCUUCUUCUGCGAGUAACGUCACAGAUGUAAGGUAUUAACUUACACCCUUUCCUCCUCGCUGAAAGUGCUUUACAACCCGAAGGCCUUCUUCACACACGCGGCAUGGCUGCAUCAGGGUUUCCCCCAUUGUGCAAUAUUCCCCACCUGCUGCCUCCCGUAGGAGUCUGGGCCGUGUCUCAGUCCCAGUGUGGCUGAUCAUCCUCUCAGACCAGCUAGGGAUCGUCGCCUAGGUGAGCCUUUACCUCACCUACUAGCUAAUCCCACCUGGGCUUAUCCAUCAGCGCAAGGCCCGAAGGUCCCCUGCUUUCCCCCGUAGGGCGUAUGCGGUAUUAGCAGUCGUUUCCAACUGUUAUCCCCCACAAAUGGGCAAAUUCCCAGGCAUUACUCACCCGUCCGCCGCUCGUCAUCUUCAAAAGCAAGCUUUUGAAAUGUUACCGCUCGACUUGCAUGUGUUAGGCCUGCCGCCAGCGUUCAAUCUGAGCCAGAAUCAAACUCUGA
rnacentral:rRNA from 1 species